AUUUCCUACCGCCGCAGAGAAAAAAAGGCGUCUAAAAAGACUGGGUUAUUAAAGUUCAUCCCGGCAUGAUCACAUGCACAGCAGCACAAAUUUCUUCUUUUACGGGUCUGAGCCAGCAAGUUCAAGUUCAAGGCGACACGAGGGUCGAGUGUCUGCGGUUUGCAAACAAUCCGAAAUUGGAUGCAGAAGUAUCAGCACAUGAAGGCAGCACAGAUUGUGUUAUACCGGGUGUCUGUUGGCGGCGCUGUGGAGCUCCGGAUUACAUUUUGACGGUUGCCAGUGAAAAAAAUUCACCAAUCAGUGAGCGGAGGUGUGUAGAACCAUCCAAUCAGAAUGAAUGCAAGGGUGUUGCUAGGAGAUAGGGUGAUGUCAGGACAAUGCAGUGGGAGGAGUGGAAUCCUACACCUGCUGAGGCUGUGAUGUCAUCAUGAGGGGCUGGACAGCACAGGGGAAUCAUCAGCGCCUAUGGGUGACAACAGAAAGUGCGAUGACCCGGGCAGUGGUACCGGAGCUUCAGAU